UACGGAGGGUGCAAGCGUUAUCCGGAUUCACUGGGUUUAAAGGGUGCGUAGGUGGGCAAGUAAGUCAGUGGUGAAAUCUCCGGGCUUAACCCGGAAACUGCCAUUGAUACUAUUUGUCUUGAAUACUGUGGAGGUCAGCUGAAUAUGUCAUGUAGCGGUGAAAUGCUUAGAUAUGACAUAGAACACCAAUUGCGAAGGCAGCUGGCUACACAAAUAUUGACACUGAGGCACGAAAGCGUGGGGAUCAAACAGG
rnacentral:rRNA from 1 species